UUUAUAUUACUUUAUGAUCAAAAAAAUCUCAAAAUUGAUAACUUUUAACGGCCGGUAUGGAAUAGUUAUUAGUUUAAUGGUGUAAAAGGUUGAAAUUGAUUGAAUUUUUAAUAAAAAAUUCUAUUCAAAGAAGUUUGAUCUUAAAUUUAAGGAUCCGAUCAUUUAUUUUUAGAUUAUUGUUCAAUUUUGACCAUUUAUUUUAUUCCCGCUUGAUGGACUUUAUUAUAAUUUUGAAAAAUUAUAAAAAUUUAUUUUCUAAAAGUUUUAAAUACUCAAAAUUAUACUUAACGGUGUAAAUAAUCAAUUCGGAAGCUCCAUCAUUGAAAACAACUUAUAAAUAUAAAUAGCUCUAACUCAUAAGAAUAUAGUAGCCCUACUCUCUCUCUCUCUCUCUCUCUCUAUCUCUAUAUAUAUCUCUCUCUAUAUAUAUAUAAUGUGCUAGAAAAUUUAUGUAAUAUAUACACUACAACAAAAACGAUCUAUAGCGACACUUUUAAAUGUAGGUACAUGUCAAAAAAGUGCUGCUAGCUAAAAUUACCGACACAGUUAAAAAGUGUUGCUAUAUGUGGGGUCGCUAGGUAUAUAGUGACAGUUAAAGAGUGUCGCUAUAACCUAAAAGAGUGCUGCUAAUUUACCAACACUUAUUUAAGCAUUUAGCAACCGCCAAAACUCUAUCUCGUUGGCUGCGGUGGCGGAGGAGGACGACAGGAAAGGCUCUUCGUCUAGAAUUUCAGUGGAUUAAGUGAAAAGAGAAGAAAAGAUGGUAAUUGAUUUUUCUUUUUUUUUUUCUUUUCUGUUUGUAAUCGGGCCAAAUGGACUGGGUGUGGUGGAUUGAGUAGAGUAAUUUUUUAUUUUUGGUUGGAUUUGGCUUUAUAUUUAGGCAUUAGUAGAUGUUUUUUUAAGUUUUAGCAUAAAUGGGACACUUACUCAAAAGUGUUCCAAAUAUGUGUCCCUAUAACCUAAUUCUAUUGUAGUGUAUAUCUUGGGACUAAAUGUAUAAACCAAUUAAAACUUAUCAUGUUGUAAUAGACUCAAAUCAAGGGUGAUUGAGCUAUUCAUUUAUUUUAUUCGACAAAAUUCGACAAUUUUCAAUGGAAACUUAUCAUUAAACCAGUGGUAAUUUUUGUUGGACAAAAGGUGUAAUUUUUCUUGAUAUAUUUAUUUAUAAUAAAUAAUAAAUAUAGGUGGACCAAAAUGAAAAGAAAAAUUAAUUGAAUGGAUGCUGCAAAAAAAAGUACUUACAAUUAAGAAUUGUUAGCUGUGCUCGCUGAACAGGCACAAGCGAUAUUAAAUACUUUGGAAAUAAAUGUACUUUUUUUUUUUUAUAGUACUUACAAAUUUAAAAAAUAAAAAUAUAUUUUUACUUUAUCAUCCUAUAAUUUCAAUAAAUGUACUGUACCCAUGCACUAUUAUCUUUCUCUCGCUGUAAAAUCUUAUUGUUAAAUAAGAUAAUAAAUUAAGUGAUAUACUUCACAAAUUAUAAAAUAACUCAGCGCAAAUUAUAAACUAGUAAAACGCUAUAUUCUACCUCUCCGUGGUUAAUAAAAUACACGACUUCAUUAUCCUGUUAUUUAUAUAUAAAUUAUAUUAUUUUAGUAUAUAUUCCAAUUAUUGACAGGUUCUCACAGUAAUACAAAAAGAAAAGUGAAGUUAAUUUAGAAUGGGGAUAUAUAUUUUAUGAGUAUGACUUGCGUGCUUUCAAGAGCACGGAGAGCUCUAUACUUUUAAAUUAUUUUUGAUGAUGUGAUAUUCAAUUCGGCGAUCUGUUCUGUUAGCUAUAAUUUAUACCAUUAGAAAUAUUUAGAAAUCAAAUUUUAUAAUUUUUCAACAUCAUUUGCUAGGUGAUCAAAAUGUUUCAAAAAUGACAAUUUUAAUAGUCGGUGUGACACGUUUGUAAAUUCGAACAGUGUAAACAAUCCAAAUUAGGUAAAAUUUGAAUAAAAAUUUUCAUUUAUUAUCAAGAGCAAGAUUAGCACUUCCGAUCUGAAAUAAAAUUUAGAUAUUCUAUUAUUAUUAUUUAUGAAAUUUUUAUUUUCAGUCGUUUAUUUUUUAAACUACUUAUUCACUAGGCAAAUAAAAUUUAAAAAAUUAUAAAAUUUUGUUUCUAGAUAAAUCUAGUAGUUUAGAUCAUAUCAAACGAAGUCGUUCACUAUUUAGAUAAAUAUCAUAAUUUUUCGACAUCAUUUACUUUACGAUCGUAAUAUCUCAAAAUUGAUAACAUUUAAUGACUGAUAUGAGAUAUUUGCUACUUUAACGGGGUAAACGAAUCGAAAUUAGUUGAAUUUUUGAUAAAAAAAUUCUAUUUAUUAUUUAGAUAAAGUUCAAUAAUUCUGAUUUUUAAUUGAAGAAUCCGAUCAUUCAUUUUUAAGAUGCCGUUCAAUUUUGAUUGUUCAUUUUUAUGCCCAUUUGAUUGACUUUAUUAUAAAUUAAAAAAAUAUAUGAAAUUAAUUUUUUUAAAGUUUCAAAAACUCAAAAUCAUUUUUAACAGCGAGAAUCGUCAAUUAGAAAGCUUCAUUACUAAAAAUAAUUUAUGAGUAUUAAAAGCUUUAUACUUAUAAGAGUAUAGUAACCCUAUUUAUAGCCUCUCGAUUCGGAGUAUAUCUAGAUGGUUUUUUUCAUAUGAACUUGCAUGUAGCCUCUUAAAUCUCAAAACUCAUGUUUUCAAAUGAACUUGCAUGUAGACUCACGUUUGAUUGGAGAACUAAAUUUGGGAAAACAACUUUUAUUGUUUCCGAGAAUAGGAGAUAUUCCAGUACAAGAUAGAACAAUUGUAAAUUUAUGUUUGAAUGCAUUCAGAAAUAUUCUAGAGAAUAUUCUUAGUAACGUUUGGCUAAAAAGUGUAGAACAAUGUCUAAAUAUAUUUUUAAAAAUAAAAUAAUUAAUUUAUAUUAGAAUAUUUUAUAUAAAAUUAUUUCUUAUAGUAAUUUAUAAUAUAAUAUUUUAUGUAACAAUUUAAUUUAAAAUAGUAUAUUUAUUUUACUAUAUAUAAUAAUAAUUUAUUUUAUAUAAUUUAUUCGUAACAUAUGUAAUGAUAUCCUUAUAAUUUUAAUUAAUAAUAGUUUAAAUUUCAAUAUAAAUUAAAAAAAUAUAUAAUGCACGAAAAAAUAAUUAUAUAUAUAAUAAUUAUUAUAAAAUAAAAUAAUUAAAUAUUAAUAUAUAAAUAAUAAAACUUAAUAAAAUAAAUUAUAUAUCAAAUUUAAUUAAUUUAUAUUAUAUAAUAAAAUUUAAGUAUAAAUAUAUUAUUAUAAAAAUAAUAUUUAUAUUAAUAUAUUUAUUUAUAUAUCUAUUUAUCAAAUAAAAUAAAGAGAAAAGCAAAGUUGUUCUCAAUUUUCUUAGGAACAAUUUUUAACGGGUUGUUCCAGAAUAAUCCAGAAUAACUCGUUUUGACCGGAACAACCCGCUCUCUCUUGUUCUUCCACUGUUUAGUUACAAUUUCGGGGAUAUCCCGGAUACCAAACGUAGCCUUAAAUCUCAUAACUCAUUCAAACUCCUCACUUCUCCUAAUGCAUUUUCAAUACCCCUCACUUUUCCUAUAGAUGAUUUUCCUCCCAUUAUAAUUAAAAGAAAAAAAAGGUGCUCCUUUUCUCCUCUACAACUAUACAAAAAGAAUCAAAAACUAUUGCUGUCCUGCAGAACAAAUAUCGGACGGUAAGAUAACUGACUUUCAGCAUUGAUUGCUUUCGCCAGACUAAAAAUACGCUCAGAACAACUAUUUACAUACAGAGAUUCUUCAAACUUUUUUAGAGAUUUUCAUUUAAAAAAACAUAAAAGCUAGCAGUGCAGAAUAGAGCACUAUAUGUUAGAUGUGACUCGAAAUUGAUAAUCGACUUCAGUUCGGAAUUUCGACUCGCCGACAAUUUUACGGUACGAUCAAAUUGAAAAAUAAAAUUGUGAAGAAAAAAUGAAUAUAUGUGAUGGAUAGCGGAGGGCUCGGGCCGACAGGCCCAAAUCCGUAGAGGCGAUAGAUUGUGGUUCCUUGUACUUGAACAUUAUAUUUUUUUCUUUCUCGAUAGUAAAGUUCUCUCCUUCCUUGCCCGUUAUUUUUUUCUGCAAAUAAUUUUUCACGUAAAUUUGUGUUUCUCUUUUAUUUCUGCUUAUGGUUUGAUUAUAUUUCGUGUCUAGCAUUUUUGUUUCUGUUUGUGCGUUUGUCGUAACACUAUCGAAAUAGUACUAUCUCACUAACAAACUCUCAAAAUAAUAAUAUAUCGCUAAUUAAAUUACCUAUAAUCACUAAAACCCUUCACUAAUUAAACAAACUACAGCAGUAGCUACAACGACAUAGGCUUUAAGAAGAACAAGCAAAUCAACAAGCAUAAAAAAAAAAAUUUCAAAAAUUAUGAAGAUGCAUGAAUAUCAUGAUCACAUUCCCUCACAGGGGAGAAAAUAAUUGAUUUUCUCUACAACCAGAAUGUUAAAGUCAAUGAGACAAUCGUUGAAUAUUUAAUACUUUCUUUCACGUUUGAGAUCGAGAGGACUUAAAUCAAAUAGGAGAAAAUCAAUUAUGCUAGGAGCGUGAUGUGAUUCCAACUCAUAACCUCAUCCUCCGAUACUAUAUUAAAUUAUAAGAAACAACCGUUAUGCUCUAAAAACUUAAGCUGAUAGAGAAUAAUAUUUUCAUUUAUUUUAUAUUUCGCACAAAAUGAAACAUCCCACACGAAUCUCGUCGACAUCAUCAGAUAAUGAACCUUUUAGUUUAUUGCAAAUAUUUUUUAAUAAAAGAAAGAAAGAAAGAAAGAAAGAGAUUCUUCGGACUAAACACGUCCUGAAUUACUUCCGCAUGCGGAGGCAAAGAUUAGUUGACGAUCGACCGACUUCCCUCUCUGUUGCCAUCCACCCCUAAAUUGCGGUCCGUCUGCAACAGGCCUUAGUUUGGUACAAAGGUGGGGCCCCACAACCUCAUCAAAGAUUCAAAAAGAAAAAAGGAGGAAAAAAAAAAAAAAAAAAAAAAAGCCAAAAAGAAGAGCACGAGAAAACAAUAAAUGCGAAAGGAUAAGUUUCAG
rnacentral:lncRNA from 1 species